UUAUACAGUAGAGAUAAAAUAACAAUAUUUUAUUUAGAAUCUUUUUUAAUAUAUUAAAAGCAUUACAUUUAUUAAUAAAAUAAACUUAUAAUAAAUUAUUUAUACAUUUUAGUUAUAGUAUUCAACAGUUAUAUAAAUAGUUGUGUUCGAUUUAUUAAACAUAUAUUUAAUGUAGUGAUUUUUUUUUCUUUGUUUUAAUCAUUUUUAACGUUCUUUUUCUCUCUAAUUACCCCCACGCCCCAAGUUCUCUCCGUCUCUCUGUAUUAAAAACAUGAACACUCGUAAGAAAGUGCAUCCUUUCCAGAAUCCGACAGUCCUCCUCCGUAACAGCUGCCGCCUGCCACCGUCCAUCGAUGUCUUUGUUCAUAAGAAAAAUCCUUUGGAGAACGAUCUUAAUCCCUUCUCUCUGUUUCUCUAAUUAAUUUUCUCUGAAUCAGCCCAUGUAAUCGUAGAUCUACACUUUAAAUUAGUCAAAAAUAAUUUAGGAAUCCUUUUUGCCAUCGUUUUUCUUUGAGCUGGGUUGGAGAUGUGUUUCUCUCUCCAUUCUUCUCUUCUCCCUUCAUAAAUUUUAAGGUCAAAAAACCCAUGCAAGUCUCUUAAACCAAAGCACAAGGUUUGGUAAUGUCAUAUGUGAUCUUUUUGGUUUUUGGGGAAAAAAUAUUUGAGGAAUAAAAACCCACUCGGUCGAAUGGCCAUUCCAUGAACCAAACUACAGUUUCACUGUCGCACGCCGAAUUAGCCUGGAAUGGAAUGGCUAUUACAGGCAACCAAAUAUAAUGGAAUUGGUCUGAAACAAUGAGAUCAUGCAAGUUGCUGUUGCAGUUUUUAGUGUUGAUGAAAUUAUAUGCCACAAUAUAUUAAUAUUAAUGUGUUUUUUUUAUCGAGUAUUUGAUUCUUUUAAAAUGGAUAUAUGUGUUGAAUUAUACAUAAAUUAAAAGACAAAUUUCUACCAAAUAUAACAUAUUGCCGGGUGUUGUGUGGUUUAUAUUUAAAGUAAACUAACAUAUGGAUCCGACUCUAUAUUUUGUCUUUCCCUUUAGUUGAUGAGAUUGAGGCUAUUAAGUUUUGCUCUCUCAAGACUAGAGAAACUUUCCAUCUUUUAGUCCGUCUCUCAUAUCAGAUCUCUUGAGCUUCUACUAUGGAAGAAUAUCUUGGAAUUUCUAUUUUAAUAAAAAUAAUGUAGAUUUACUAGUUCA